GCUGCGCAUUGUGGUGGGUGCCUGUGUUCUCAGCUACUUGGGAGGCAGAGGCAGGAGAGUCGCUUGAGCCCAGGAGUUGGAGGUUGCUAUGAGCUGUGAUGCCAUGGUACUCUACCCAAGGCAACAGCUUGAGGUUGUCUCAAAUAAAAAAGAGAAAAUCUCACUUUAUCACCUUCGGUAGAGUGCUGUGGCAUCAGCUCACAGCAACCUCAAAUUCCUGGGCUUAAGUGAUUCUCUUGCCU
rnacentral:sRNA from 1 species